UACGGAGGAUGCGAGCGUUAUCCGGAUUUAUUGGGUUUAAAGGGUGCGUAGGCGGCCGAGUAAGUCAGCGGUGAAAUUUUGCAGCUUAACUGUAACAGUGCCGUUGAUACUGCAUGGCUAGGAUUUGGUUGCUGUGGGUGGAAUGUGUGGUGUAGCGGUGAAAUGCUUAGAUAUCACACAGAAUAUCAAUUGCGAAGGCAGCUCACAAAGCCAAGAUUGACGCAGAGGCACGAAAGUGUGGGGAUCAAACA
rnacentral:rRNA from 1 species